GCCNANACAUGCAGUCGAGCGGCAGCGGGUCCUUCGGGAUGCCGGCGAGCGGCGGACGGGUGANNNNUGCCUAGGAAUCUGCCUGGUAGUGGGGGAUAACUCGGGGAAACUCGAGCUAAUACCGCAUACGUCCUACGGGAGAAAGCGGGGGAUCUUCGGACCUCGCGCUACCAGAUGAGCCUAGGUCGGAUUAGCUAGUUGGUGAGGUAAAGGCUCACCAAGGCGACGAUCCGUAGCUGGUCUGAGAGGAUGAUCAGCCACACUGGAACUGAGACACGGUCCAGACUCCUACGGGAGGCAGCAGUGGGGAAUAUUGGACAAUGGGCGAAAGCCUGAUCCAGCCAUGCCGCGUGUGUGAAGAAGGUCUUCGGAUUGUAAAGCACUUUAAGUUGGGAGGAAGGGCAGUAAGUUAAUACCUUGCUGUUUUGACGUUACCGACAGAAUAAGCACCGGCUAACUUCGUGCCAGCAGCCGCGGUAAUACGAAGGGUGCAAGCGUUAAUCGGAAUUACUGGGCGUAAAGCGCGCGUAGGUGGUUUGAUAAGUUGGAUGUGAAAGCCCCGGGCUCAACCUGGGAAUUGCAUCCAAAACUGUCUGACUAGAGUAUGGCAGAGGGUGGUGGAAUUUCCUGUGUAGCGGUGAAAUGCGUAGAUAUAGGAAGGAACACCAGUGGCGAAGGCGACCGCCUGGGCUAAUACUGACACUGAGGUGCGAAAGCGUGGGGAGCAANCAGGAUUAGAUACCCUGGUAGUCCACGCCGUAANCGAUGUCGACUAGCCGUUGGGAUCCUUGAGAUCUUAGUGGCGCAGCUAACGCAUUAAGUCGACCGCCUGGGGAGUACGGCCGCAAGGUNAAANCUCANAUGAAUUGACGGGGGCCCGCACANNCGNNGGANCAUGUGGUUUAAUUC
rnacentral:rRNA from 2 species